CUCAGGAUGAACGCUAGCUACAGGCUUAACACAUGCAAGUCGAGGGGCAGCAUGGUCUUAGCUUGCUAAGGCCGAUGGCGACCGGCGCACGGGUGAGUAACGCGUAUCCAACCUGCCUUACACUCUUGGACAGCCUUCUGAAAGGGAGAUUAAUACAAGAUGUUAUCAUGAGUAAGCAUUUUCGCAUGAUUAAAGGUUUACCGGUGUAAGAUGGGGAUGCGUUCCAUUAGAUAGUAGGCGGGGUAACGGCCCACCUAGUCUUCGAUGGAUAGGGGUUCUGAGAGGAAGGUCCCCCACAUUGGAACUGAGACACGGUCCAAACUCCUACGGGAGGCAGCAGUGAGGAAUAUUGGUCAAUGGACGAGAGUCUGAACCAGCCAAGUAGCGUGAAGGAUGAAGGUUCUAUGGAUUGUAAACUUCUUUUAUACGGGAAUAAACGGAUCCACGUGUGGAUUUUUGCAUGUACCGUAUGAAUAAGGAUCGGCUAACUCCGUGCCAGCAGCCGCGGUAAUACGGAGGAUCCGAGCGUUAUCCGGAUUUAUUGGGUUUAAAGGGAGCGUAGAUGGGUUGUUAAGUCAGUUGUGAAAGUUUGCGGCUCAACCGUAAAAUUGCAAUUGAUACUGGCAGUCUUGAGUACAGUUGAGGUAGGCGGAAUUCGUGGUGUAGCGGUGAAAUGCUUAGAUAUCACGAAGAACUCCGAUUGCGAAGGCAGCUUACUAACCUGUAACUGACAUUGAUGCUCGAAAGUGUGGGCAUCAAACAGGAUUAGAUACCCUGGUAGUCCACACGAUAAACGAUGAAUACUCGCUGUAGGCGAUAUACAGUCUGCGGCCAAGCGAAAGCAUUAAGUAUUCCACCUGGGGAGUACGCCGGCAACGGUGAAACUCAAAGGAAUUGACGGGGGCCCGCACAAGCGGAGGAACAUGUGGUUUAAUUCGAUGAUACGCGAGGAACCUUACCCGGGCUUAAAUUGCAACCGAAUAUGGCGGAAACGCUAUAGCUAGCAAUAGCGGUUGUGAAGGUGCUGCAUGGUUGUCGUCAGCUCGUGCCGUGAGGUGUCGGCUUAAGUGCCAUAACGAGCGCAACCCUUGCCGAUAGUUACUAACAGGUCAUGCUGAGGACUCUGUCGGGACUGCCAUCGUAAGAUGUGAGGAAGGUGGGGAUGACGUCAAAUCAGCACGGCCCUUACGUCCGGGGCUACACACGUGUUACAAUGGGGGGUACAGAGGGCUGCUACCACGCAAGUGGAUGCCAAUCCCAAAAACCUCUCUCAGUUCGGAUUGAAGUCUGCAACCCGACUUCAUGAAGCUGGAUUCGCUAGUAAUCGCGCAUCAGCCACGGCGCGGUGAAUACGUUCCCGGGCCUUGUACACACCGCCCGUCAAGCCAUGGGAGCCGGGGGUACAAGAAGUGCGUAACCGCAAGGAGCGCCCUAGGGUAAAAC
rnacentral:rRNA from 1 species